UACGAAGGGGGCUAGCGUUGUUCGGAUUUACUGGGCGUAAAGCGCACGUAGGCGGAUUGGUCAGUUAGGGGUGAAAUCCUGGAGCUCAACUCCAGAACUGCCUUUGAUACUGGGAAUCUCGAGUCCGGGAGAGGUGAGUGGAACUGCGAGUGUAGAGGUGAAAUUCGUAGAUAUUCGCAAGAACACCAGUGGCGAAGGCGGCUCACUGGCCCGGUACUGACGCUGAGGUGCGAAAGCGUGGGGAGCAAACAGG
rnacentral:rRNA from 1 species